AGGCAAAAAGCGAAAUAUUGCAUUCAGUUUCGACCUGGCUUUUGAUGUUAAAACAUCUUUGCCUA
rnacentral:tRNA from 1 species